rnacentral:lncRNA from 1 species
GCAUGGAAGCACUCAAGCUAAAGCAAAUGCACCUAAAGAAUGGCUACUGGCCAGUAGUGAUCCUGCAAGACCCUAGACUCACUCAGAGUCCCUCACUCUGACUCUUAGUCUCAAUCAAGGUGCGUAGCGGGAACCCUUUUAACUACGGCAAUGGGUAUAUCUUACCUCCGCUGCUUACCCAAUGGACCACUUAGAAUAGACC